AUGGUCCAUCUUUUGCAAUGCAGUGGCAGUACCCACAUGUCGUUGCCUCUGUUCUUCCUCUCGGUCCUCCUCCUCCCCUUCUUGGAGUCGGCAUAUUCGGAUGCCGGGAGGUUGCCACUGAGGUUACUAGAGAUUGGCAGCAGUAAGUCAUAAGAGGAGGGGGGACGCAGAGGGGAGAUGAUGAAGAUGGAACGGAGUGGCCUGAUCGGAUCAAGGCCACCAAGGUGUGAGAGGGUGUGCAUGUCUUGUGGCCACUGCGAGGCAGUGCAGGUGCCCAUAGUGCCACAGGAUCACAAGCAGAGAGCUGGCCGAGAACACCAUGAUGCGGCGAGUGACAUCAGCGCAGCAAUGCUCACCACCUACAGGGUCAAUGGUGGCAUCUCCGACUACAAACCUCUGAGCUGGAAGUGUAGGUGUGGAAGCAUGAUACUUGAUCCAUGA
rnacentral:rRNA from 1 species